AGGGAAUAUUGCACAAUGGGCGCAAGCCUGAUGCAGCAACGCCGCGUGAGUGAAGAAGGCCUUCGGGUUGUAAAGCUCUUUCGGCUAGGAAGAAGGGCUAUGUAGCUAAUAUCUGCAUAGUUUGACGGUACUAGAAGAAGAAGCACCGGCUAAUUCCGUGCCAGCAGCCGCGGUAAUACGGAAGGUGCAAGCGUUGUUCGGAAUGACUGGGCGUAAAGCGCGCGUAGGCGGACUUGAAAGUCAGCUGUGAAAUCCCAGGGCUUAACCCUGGAAUUGCAGUUGAAACUCCAAGUCUUGAAUGCCUGAGAGGAUGGCGGAAUUCCGGGUGUAGGAGUGAAAUCCGUAGAGAUCCGGAGGAACACCAGAGGCGAAGGCGGCUAUCUGGCGGUGCAUUGACGCUGAGGCGCGAAAGCGUGGGGAGCAAAC
rnacentral:rRNA from 1 species